rnacentral:sRNA from 1 species
AAAGCAUGUACUAACGAAGCCGGCACUCCCGGUAUUGGAUAUGGUGUUAAAAUAAGGGUAAUAUUAGUAGAUAACCAAAUAAACAUACAAAUUAAGAAACUAGCAGAGAAAAAGUUUUUUUUUACAAAAUAACCAUGGACCCACUUUGUCGGAAGAAAUGAAAUAACAAAGUUACCCUUCAUUUGUUGUAAGAUAAACAGUAAACGAAACACAUCUGUGUAAUUUUUCAAAAUAGCAUGUAACAUUAAAAUUUCACAUGUUAUAUUUAGUUUAAAAACAUGCUAUUUCAAAAAACGUCAUGAAUUUUUAAGAAAAAACAUUAUUAUGAAUUUUUUUUACAUGAACA